GGAAGGAUCAUUAGCGAGACAGGCCGGUAGGCCGACUCGGACACGAAGUAGUUUUGGAACACAAGUUUGCUUCGGCGGGCCGUGGAGGACCAGAAAUUUGAUUCUGGGUUGGCCCCAUCGGCGCGAGCGGAUGCGCGCCCGCCGGAGGACACGACACGCAGUGAUGUCAGUCUGAGAUGGAUAAGAAAAGAAAAGAAAAAACUUUCAACAACGGAUCUCUUGGUUCUGGCAUCGAUGAAGAACGCAGCGAAAUGCGAUAAGUAAUGUGAAUUGCAGAAUUUAGUGAAUCAUCGAAUCUUUGAACGCACAUUGCGCCCCCUGGUAUUCCGGGGGGCACACCUGUCCGAGCGCCGUUUUACGACUGAGGCUCAGCCUUGCGAUGGCCGGCUCCGUGAGGGGAGCGGCGGAAACGGAUGGGCGGCGGGCCGCGGGACGCAGCGUGACACGAGAGCGCGGCGGACUGUGGGCGCGGCAGCCUUGCGAGAAAACGAGAUUUGGCCUCGGAUCAGGUGGGGAUACCCGCUGAACUUAAGCAUAUCAAUAAGCGGAGGAAAAGAAACCAACAGGGAUUGCCCCAGUAACGGCGAGUGAAGCGGCAAGAGCUCAGAUUUGAAACCUGCCAACAGGCCGGAUUGUAAUCUGCAGAGGAGCGCUCGGCGGAGGCGGCGGUCCAAGUCUCCUGGAACGGAGCGUCGGAGAGGGUGAGAGCCCCGUACACGACCGCGGGCCGAAGCCGUGUGAGCGCCCUUCGAGGAGUCGAGUUGUUUGGGAAUGCAGCUCCAAAAGGGUGGUAAAUUCCAUCUAAGGCUAAAUACGGGCCAGAGACCGAUAGCGCACAAGUAGAGUGAUCGAAAGAUGAAAAGCACUUUGGAAAGAGAGUCAAACAGUACGUGAAAUUGUUGAAAGGGAAGCGCUUGCGACCAGAGUCGGCCGCGGUUGCUCAGCCGGACGUUGUCCGGUGCACUCGACCGCGGGCGGGCCAGCAUCGGUUCGGGCGGGCGGACAAAGGUUUUGGGAAGGUGGCCCCUCUCGGGGGGUGUUAUAGCCCGGAGCAGAAUACGUCCAGCCCGGACCGAGGGACGCGCAUCAGCUCGGAUGCUGGCGUAAUGGUUGCUAGCGGCCCGUCUUGAAACACGGACCAAGGAGUCUAACAUCCGUGCGAGUGUUAGGGUGGCAAGCCCUGGACGCGCAAUGAAAGUGAACGGAGGUGGGAGCUUCGGCGCACCAUCGACCGAUCCGGAGGAUCUCCGAAGGAUUUGAGUAGGAGCACGGGUGUUGGGACCCGAAAGAUGGUGAACUAUGCGUGAAUAGGGUGAAGCCAGAGGAAACUCUGGUGGAGGCUCGCAGCGGUUCUGACGUGCAAAUCGAUCGUCAAAUUUGCGUAUAGGGGCGAAAGACUUAUCGAACCAUCUAGUAGCUGGUUCCUGC
rnacentral:misc_RNA from 1 species